rnacentral:rRNA from 1 species
GACAGAGGAUGCAAGCGUUAUCCGGAAUGAUUGGGAGACGUAAGCGUCUGUAGGUGGCUUUUUAAGUCUGCCGUCAAAUCCCAGGGCUUAACCCUGGACCGGCGGUGGAAACUACCAAGCUGGAGUACGGUAGGGGGCAGAGGGAAUUUCCGGUGGACGGUGAAAUGCGUAGAGAUCGGAAAGAACACCAACGGCGAAGGCACUCUGCUGGGCCGACACUGACACUGAGAGACGAAAAGCUAGGGGGAGCAAAUGGG